CUCCUCCCAUCAGUCUGACCAGCUCAGCAUCUCAUUUCCACCACUAAUAAGGCUGAACAGCAGUGUAGAGACGGAGAAUAGUCAGUAAUGAGCUCUGAAAGACACUGCAGGGAACGCUGAAUGAGAAGAGCAGUGAAAGGGUUUAGAUGAACAGAAGAAAGGAUGAGAGAGGACAGAAAGAAUAAGAACCAUCUGCAGACGUCAGGUGAACAGGUCUUCUCCUUUAUAAGCAGCUCAGAUGGAGGACGCUGGAUGACUGACAGUCUUUACUGCAGAUGAUCUGCUGUGGAGGUCAUUCACAGAUUCAGCUCCGUCACUCAGUCAGAGUCACUAAGACUGUAAAGUGAAGCAUGUUUACUGGACUCUGGACUCUGUACAGCCCCUCAGGUUUGAUGUUAUUGACCUGUGGGAUCUUGUUACCAUUCAGAUGGGAUGUUUUAGACGGUGCAUGACAGUCUCAGCAUUUUGAUGCAUGUAAGACGGCUUUAGGUUCUGCAUUGAUGAUUGGGCUGAAAAGAUGAAGAGCAGAAA